rnacentral:rRNA from 1 species
CCUGAGUACGACGGAGCACGUGAAAUUCCGUCGGAAUCUGGGAGGACCAUCUCCUAAGGCUAAAUACUCUCUAGUGACCGAUAGUGAACCAGUACCGUGAGGGAAAGGUGAAAAGUACCCCGGAAGGGGAGUGAAAGAGAACUUGAAACCGUGUGCUUACAAGUAGUCAGAGCCCGUUAAUGGGUGAUGGCGUGCCUUUUGUAGAAUGAACCGGCGAGUUACGAUCUGAUGCAAGGUUAAGCAGAAAAUGUGGAGCCGUAGCGAAAGCGAGUCUGAAUAGGGCGAAUGAGUAUUUGGUCGUAGACCCGAAACCAGGUGAUCUACCCUUGGUCAGGUUGAAGUUCAGGUAACACUGAAUGGAGGACCGAACCGACUUACGUUGAAAAGUGAGCGGAUGAACUGAGGGUAGCGGAGAAAUUCCAAUCGAACUUGGAGAUAGCUGGUUCUCUCCGAAAUAGCUUUAGGGCUAGCCUCAAGUGAUGAUUAUUGGAGGUAGAGCACUGUUUGGACGAGGGGCCCCUCUCGGGUUACCGAAUUCAGACAAACUCCGAAUGCCAAAUAAUUUAACUUGGGAGUCAGAAUGUGGGUGAUAAGGUCCAUAUUCGAAAGGGAAACAGCCCAGACCACCAGCUAAGGUCCCAAAAUAUAUGUUAAGUGGAAAAGGAUGUGGCGUUGCCCAGACAACUAGGAUGUUGGCUUAGAAGCAGCCAUCAUUUAAAGAGUGCGUAAUAGCUCACUAGUCGAGUGACACUGCGCCGAAAAUGUACCGGGGCUAAACAUAUUACCGAAGCUGUGGAUUGUCCUUUGGACAAUGGUAGGAGAGCGUUCUAAGGGCGUUGAAGCAUGAUCGCAAGGACAUGUGGAGCGCUUAGAAGUGAGAAUGCCGGUGUGAGUAGCGAAAGACGGGUGAGAAUCCCGUCCACCGAUUGACUAAGGUUUCCAGAGGAAGGCUCGUCCGCUCUGGGUUAGUCGGGUCCUAAGCUGAGGCCGACAGGCGUAGGCGAUGGAUAACAGGUUGAUAUUCCUGUACCACCAUUAUUCGUUUUAAGCGAUGGGGGGACGCAGUAGGAUAGGCGAAGCGUGCUGUUGGAGUGCACGUCCAAGCAGUGAGAUUGAGUGUUAGGCAAAUCCGGCACUCUUAAGAUUGAGCUGUGAUGGGGAGAGGAACUUGUUCCUCGAGUCGUUGAUUUCACACUGCCGAGAAAAGCCUCUAGCUAGAAUAACGGUGCCCGUACCGCAAACCGACACAGGUAGUCAAGAUGAGAAUUCUAAGGUGAGCGAGCGAACUCUCGUUAAGGAACUCGGCAAAAUGACCCCGUAACUUCGGGAGAAGGGGUGCUCUUUGAGGUUCACGCUUCGAAGAGCCGCAGUGAAUAGGCCCAAGCGACUGUUUAUCAAAAACACAGGUCUCUGCUAAACCGUAAGGUGACGUAUAGGGGCUGACGCCUGCCCGGUGCUGGAAGGUUAAGAGGAGUGGUUAGCGCAAGCGAAGCUACGAAUCGAAGCCCCAGUAAACGGCGGCCGUAACUAUAACGGUCCUAAGGUAGCGAAAUUCCUUGUCGGGUAAGUUCCGACCCGCACGAAAGGCGUAACGAUUUGGGCACUGUCUCAACGAGAGACUCGGUGAAAUCAUAGUACCGGUGAAGAUGCCGGUUACCCGCGACAGGACGGAAAGACCCCGUGGAGCUUUACUGUAGCCUGAUAUUGAAAUUCGGUACAGUUUGUACAGGAUAGG